rnacentral:rRNA from 1 species
UACGUAGGGGGCAAGCGUUAUCCGGAUUUACUGGGUGUAAAGGGAGCGUAGACGGCCAGACAAGUCUGAAGUGAAAAUCCAGCGCUUAACGUUGGAAGUGCUUUGGAAACUGCCGGGCUAGAGUGCAGGAGGGGCAGGCGGAAUUCCUAGUGUAGCGGUGAAAUGCGUAGAUAUUAGGAGGAACACCAGUGGCGAAGGCGGCUUACUGGACGGCAACUGACGCUGAGGCUCGAAAGCGUGGGGAGCAAACAGG